UACGGAGGGUGCAAGCGUUACUCGGAAUUACUGGGCGUAAAGCGUGCGUAGGUGGUGAGUUAAGUCUGUCGUGAAAGCCCCGGGCUCAACCUGGGAAUGGCGAUGGAUACUGGCUCGCUAGAGUGCGGUAGAGGAGAGUGGAAUUCCCGGUGUAGCAGUGAAAUGCGUAGAGAUCGGGAGGAACAUCAGUUGCGAAGGCGGUCUCUGACCGCACUGACACUGAGGCACGAAAGCGUGGGGAGCAAACAGG
rnacentral:rRNA from 1 species